rnacentral:rRNA from 1 species
GUGGGGAAUAUUGGACAAUGGGGGGAACCCUGAUCCAGCCAUGCCGCGUGUGUGAAGAAGGCCUUUUGGUUGUAAAGCACUUUAAGCGAGGAGGAGGCUACCGAGAUUAAUACUCUUGGAUAGUGGACGUUACUCGCAGAAUAAGCACCGGCUAACUCUGUGCCAGCAGCCGCGGUAAUACAGAGGGUGCAAGCGUUAAUCGGAUUUACUGGGCGUAAAGCGCGCGUAGGUGGCCAAUUAAGUCAAAUGUAAAAUCCCCGAGCUUAACUUGGGAAUUGCAUUCGAUACUGGUUGGCUAGAGUAUGGGAGAGGAUGGUAGAAUUCCAGGUGUAGCGGUGAAAUGCGUAGAGAUCUGGAGGAAUACCGAUGGCGAAGGCAGCCAUCUGGCCUAAUACUGACACUGAGGUGCGAAAGCAUGGGGAGCAAACAGGAUUAGAAACCCUGGUAGUCC